AGUGAACGCUGGCGGUAGGCCUAACACAUGCAAGUCGAACGGCAGCACAGUAAGAGCUUGCUCUUACGGGUGGCGAGUGGCGGACGGGUGAGGAAUACAUCGGAAUCUACUUUUUCGUGGGGGAUAACGUAGGGAAACUUACGCUAAUACCGCAUACGACCUACGGGAGAAAGCAGGGGAUCUUCGGACCUUGCGCGAUUGAAUGAGCCGAUGUCGGAUUAGCUAGUUGGCGGGGUAAAGGCCCACCAAGGCGACGAUCCGUAGCUGGUCUGAGAGGAUGAUCAGCCACACUGGAACUGAGACACGGUCCAGACUCCUACGGGAGGCAGCAGUGGGGAAUAUUGGACCAUGGGCGCAAGCCUGAUCCAGCCAUACCGCGUGGGUGAAGAAGGCCUUCGGGUUGUAAAGCCCUUUUGUUGGGAAAGAAAAGCAGCAGGUUAAUACCCCGCUGUUCUGACGGUACCCAAAGAAUAAGCACCGGCUAACUUCGUG
rnacentral:rRNA from 1 species